AUCCAAAUGACGAGUCCCUGAUAGGGCGAAACGCACGUCUAGAAU
rnacentral:hammerhead_ribozyme from 1 species